GCACUCAUAGUUUAGUGGCAGAACUCCAGAUUGUGGCUCUGGCGACCUGAGCUCGAUUCUCAGUGAGUGCA
rfam:Capsaspora owczarzaki ATCC 30864 unplaced genomic scaffold supercont2.3, whole genome shotgun sequence.